rnacentral:lncRNA from 1 species
UGCAAUCACUUUUGCCUCUAUCACAAUAUAGUAGCAACUUGUAGAAUGGUGUCAAAUCUUGCGUUGAUUCAAGGAAUUGUCAUGAUGUUUCACAGGUUACUCUUUCUUGCAACCAUCCUGACCCUAGCCUUUCUUACUACUAUCAACUGUGAGUUUUUGUUGCUUUCCUUGUAAAAUCAGAGGAAAAUUAGGAUUUUUGUUGAUGGGGUUUUGAGAAGUCAUAAAAUCAAUCCAAUAACAUGUAACACGUACAUGUGAUUGGAA